GACGAACGCUGGCGGCGUGCCUAACACAUGCAAGUUGAGCGACGAACCAGGGCUUGCCCUGGGGCAAAGCAGCGAACGGGUGAGUAACACGUGGGUAACCUACCCCGAUAACCGGGACAACCCGAGUAAACUCGGGCUAAUACCGGAUGUGCUCACUGAACUUCGGUUCAGUGCGUAAAGGAAGCUUCGGCCUCCGUAUCGGGAGGGGCCCGCGGCCCAUUAGCUAGUUGGUGAGGUAACGGCUCACCAAGGCCGCGAUGGGUAGCUGGUCUGAGAGGACGAUCAGCCACACUGGGACUGAGACACGGCCCAGACUCCUACGGGAGGCAGCAGUGGGGAAUCUUGCGCAAUGCGCGAAAGCGUGACGCAGCAACGCCGCGUGGGGGAAGAAGGCCUUCGGGUUGUAAACCCCUUUCAGGAGGGACGAAGGUUCGGCGGUGAAUAGCCGUCCGGACUGACGGUACCUCCACAAGAAGCCCCGGCUAACUACGUGCCAGCCGCCGCAGUAA
rnacentral:rRNA from 1 species